rnacentral:rRNA from 1 species
UUACAACGGAGAGUUUGAUCCUGGCUCAGGAUGAACGCUAGCGGCAGGCUUAACACAUGCAAGUCGAACGGUAACAGGUGUAGCAAUACAUGCUGACGAGUGGCGCACGGGUGCGUAACACGUAUGCAACUUACCCCUAACUGGAGAAUAGCCUUUAGAAAUGAAGAUUAAUACUCCAUAAUAUUACAGAGUGGCAUCACUUUGUUCUUAAAACUCCGGUGGUUAGGGAUAGGCAUGCGGCCUAUUAGUUAGUUGGUGAGGUAAUGGCUCACCAAGACUUCGAUAGGUAGGGGGCCUGAGAGGGU